AUUGAACGCUGGCGGCAGGCCUAACACAUGCAAGUCGAACGGUAACAGGAAGCAGCUUGCUGCUUUGCUGACGAGUGGCGGACGGGUGAGUAAUGUCUGGGAAACUGCCUGAUGGAGGGGGAUAACUACUGGAAACGGUAGCUAAUACCGCAUAACGUCGCAAGACCAAAGAGGGGGACCUUCGGGCCUCUUGCCAUCGGAUGUGCCCAGAUGGGAUUAGCUAGUAGGUGGGGUAACGGCUCACCUAGGCGACGAUCCCUAGCUGGUCUGAGAGGAUGACCAGCCACACUGGAACUGAGACACGGUCCAGACUCCUACGGGAGGCAGCAGUGGGGAAUAUUGCACAAUGGGCGCAAGCCUGAUGCAGCCAUGCCGCGUGUAUGAAGAAGGCCUUCGGGUUGUAAAGUACUUUCAGCGGGGAGGAAGGGAGUAAAGUUAAUACCUUUGCUCAUUGACGUUACCCGCAGAAGAAGCAUCGGCUAACUCCGUG
rnacentral:rRNA from 1 species